GACGUAGGGGGCGAGCGUUAUUCGGAAUUAUUGGGCGUAAAGCGCUCGUAGGCGGGAUUGCAAGUCCGUGUUGAAAGACCUCGGCUCAACUGAGGGACCGGCUCGGAUACUGUGAUUCUUGAGGCAAUCAGAGGGUGAUGGAAUUCCCGGUGUAGCGGUGGAAUGCGCAGAUAUCAGGAGGAACACCGGUGGCGAAGGCGGGUCUCUGGGCCAUUACUGACGCUGAGGAGCGAAAGCGUGGGGAGCGAACAGG
rnacentral:rRNA from 1 species